AACACUAUCAAAGUUAUCAUCUACAUUGGAACCGGAGAAGUCCACGUGUACUUCCCCUCUGAGAAGGUACGCCACUACUUUAAUGAUUCUAACUAUAUAGUUGAAGAUUCUAAGCAGGUCAGGACAAGAAGAAGACAACGCAACCGCAACCAGAGGAGGCAGAUCAUCAAGGACGGAUGGGUAGACUACGAAGGAGAUAUGAUAAGGUCUGAACACAUACGGCUUGAACAGAACUGUCCUGAGGAGACCGUAGCACCGAGUCAGGUGUGGAGAAAGAAGAUAGUUAUACACGACGAAGAGGCGCCGCCGGAAUCACCGACUAUGCCACCUAGCGAAUCCCAGGACGACUAAGAAAACAGAGAGUCCCGUUCGGAGGACUUAAAAAUACCGAACGCCUUGCCAAGAGGUAAACUUGGUAGUUAUCCUUUUCCAUUCAAUAGUUUGCUUAGUUAAUCAGGUUCAUCUUGAAAAGAAAAUAAAUGUUAAAAAACUGUAAGCCCCAUGUGAGU
rnacentral:lncRNA from 1 species